CUCUGCCUCCCGAGUCCUGGUAUUAGAGGUGUACGCCACCACCUCAUCUGGUUUAUGCGGUGCUAGAGAUGGAGCUCGGGGCCUUCAUGCAUGCUAGGCAAGCACUCCACCACAGGGCACAUCCCCAGCCCUCCGAUGGCAUCAUUUGCCGUUUGAGAAAAGAUGGUUUUGUUGGUAAAAAGCCAUCCCAAGGCUGUCUUCCAAGUGGCUACAUAGUCAGGCUGGAUCUUGAAAUCUUAGUCUUGAUACUGGGAUUCCAGGUACCUGCCACCACACCCUGCCCAGCACGACCCUUUCCGCCCAGCUCUGUGCUUCCUGCCUGGACUUUGGUCUAAAAGCCAGUGAGGCAAUCAGCGCAAGCUAGGUUAGACUCUCAAAGAGUCAGAGGGUGUGUGGUGGUGCUGGUGACAGCGUCCCGAGUUCAGCAAGGACAUGGGUCGGGCAGGGAGGCACAGGUGUACUUCACAUGUCCUGGAAAUUCUCUAAGCGUCCUGUUUCCCUGCUGUGCUUCAGUUAGUCAGUGCUGUUUUCUCUCCAUGUCACAGAGAGCUGCCUGGUAAAUUUCCUCACCGCGCGUUCUCCACUGACUGUAUAUGAGUCAGCCUCAUUGAUUCAGCUGGGCUGCAGGCCCCUGUGGGAUGCUGUCACAUGCCUUUUCCUUUCCUCCCAUCACCCAGAAGGGGGUGCUUGUCUGUGUAUAUGUGUGUGUGUACACACAUGUAAGUGUGCAUGUGUGGUCUGUGUGCAUGUUUACACGGGUGGGUGCGUGUGAGCUGUCUGCGUGUCCAUGUGCACACAUGCAUGUGGAGGACAAACAUGGGUGUCUUCCUCCCCUGAUCUCCGCCUUGUUUAUUAAUUUUUUAUUACAUUUUGUGUGUGGACAUGCCCGCUCACAUGCAUGCGUGUUCGUGCUUUUCACAUGUGGAGGUUAGAGGGUUCUCUCCUUCCAUCACGUGGGCCUCAGGGAUUGAACCUGGAUCCCCAGGCUUGCUGGCGAGUACCUGUCUGAUUCUCCACCUCAGCUUUGAGACAGGGAGGGUCUCACUGAACCUGGAACUCACCCGCUGUCUAGGCCGGCCAGCGAACUCCCGGGGACCUGCCUGUGUCUGCCUCUCCAGCACAGGGAUUACAGGGUUGUGUUUUAAGCACUCUGUCCCCAAGCUGUGGAGCCUGUGAGGAAGUGUGGUGUGGUGGUUAGUGCUGAUUGACAGCUGGACACAGUCGAGAGUGCCUCCAGGUCAAGCAUGGGGAGAAUUAUCUUCAACUGGUGAUGAAAUGGAGUGGAGAGACCCUUCCACUGUGGGCGGCACCAUUCCCUAGCUGGGGUCCUGGACCCUGUAAGUAGACAGGAGGUAAGCGCUAGCGUUCCUCACUCUUCCUGGUUGUGGGUGUCACGUGACCAGCUGCUUCCUGCUCCAGCUGCCUAGCCGUCCUCAUCGCGGUGGACUUGAACUAUGAGCUAAAAAGUCAACCCUGCCUUACAAAUGCCUCUGUCGGCGGCGUAUUUGACCAGAGCAGCGGGGCUGACAGGAGUACACCUCCAGGUCUUCAGGGGCGACACCCGCCCCUGGUCCCCUCCAGCUUUCAGGCUCCUGGUGUCUCACCAUGAGAGGAGCCGCUGCGUCAUGCUCCCACCACCUUGGGGGGAGCCAUUCCACCGUGUCUCCCCGGGGUGCUGGACCGCAACCCGCGGGAACCAUCUAUGAUGGCUAGUCUCCAUUGUCAGCCAGGACACGAACCUUUGUGUGUGACUGGGAGGCAUUUUCAGAGUUUAACUGAGACAGGAAGGCGCACCCGGAUGCCGGUGACGUCAUCUCACCCACCGGGACUCCAGACUGAAUAGACCGGAAGCCGGAAGCCGAGCACAGCAUCCUUCUCUCUCUGCUUCCUGACUUCAGAUGCCAUGUGAGCCGCCUCACCCUUCUGUUGACAUCCGCUCCCCACCGUGAUGGCCUGUGCCGCUCCCCACCGUGAUGGCCUGUGCCCCUCCCCACCGUGAUGGCCUGUGCCCCUCCCCACCGUGAUGGCCUGUGCCCCUCCCCACCGUGAUGGCCUGUGCCCCUCCCCACCGUGAUGAUGUCCUGUACCCCUCCCCACCGUGAUGAUGGCCUGUACCCCUCCCCACCGUGAUGGCCUGUGCCCCUCCCCACUGUGAUGAUGGCCCUGUACCCCUCCCCACCGUGAUGGCCUGUGCCCCUCCCCACCGUGAUGGCCCUGUACCCCUCCCCACCGUGAUGAUGGCCUGUGCCCCUCCCCACCGUGAUGAUGGCCUGUACCCCUCCCCACCGUGAUGGCCUGUGCCCCUCCCCACCGUGAUGGCCUGUACCCCUCCCCACCGUGAUGGCCUGUACCCCUCCCCACCGUGAUGAUGGCCUGUGCCCCUCCCCACCGUGAUGGCCUGUGCCCCUCCAGUCUAUUGUGGCCACAGCCUGAGCUUGGGGCUGACUUGUCAGGUCUUUUAUCACAGCAACACAAAAGUAAGUAACGCAGCCAUUAGGGGAAUGAUGAUGACUUUCUCGCUCCUUUGAGCCGGAUUAGUCAUUGGAAGUGCAUUGUUAUAAAUGGAAUCCACCCUCCC